GCUGCCACGUCAAGGCUACCUCUGACCACCAGCGGACUACAGACUCCCUGGGAGCUAGGCCGCCCUGGGGCUUCUGCGACCUGGGGCUCCAGCAAGUGCCUGACAGUGACGGCGAGCAGACAGAGAAACGGGCUGACUCACGGUCUGAGUGGAGUUACGAUCUUGACAGAAGAAUCUCAGCUGAAAAGCUGAUCCGAUGUCUCUGAGUAAUGAGUAUCUUCAGCGGGAGACGGGAGCGAUGAGGGCCCGUGCAGACACUCCAUUCAUCUGGCAGGUUACCUGCUUCCGAGCUCCCCACCCGGCAAACCCACAAGUCCAAAGCCGGGACAAACAGCACAGUCCCCCCGGGAAACAGGCAAUAGUAAUGACAGCUCGUACUGACAUAGCAUUCACACAUGUUGGGUCCCCAUUGCAAGCAUGUUACAGACCUUAACUCCAGGCCUGAAUCUGCCUCAUACCCUUGAGCAAGCCCCAGGCUCGGUGUCACUGAAGCAGAUCACAAGUCAACGGGUGGGGAAGAGUCUAGAGAAGAGCAUGGCAGGCCAUCUCCCACAGGACCCAGAAUCAGCAGACCUGGAUGGAGCUUGGCCUAGUUUUGGGUUCUGAGCAUUUAAGAAGCUUACAGAUCCUCAGCUACAAAGAAAGGGCCAUAAAAGUGCCCAGAGACCAAGCGGCACCUACAAGGCCCCACUUCAAUAAGUUCAUUUGCCAGGUGACCCGUAAUAUGCGAUAAAAACCGAGAUUCAACAACUAUACACCUCCAAGAGGACUCAAGGUUUUGCAUUAAACCUUCUGAGAUGAGCAUGAACACACGCCAUUUGCCGGCGCCGUGUGAAUGGGCUGCGUCCAGAGGCGGGAGCCAGGCCGGCAAGGUCCCCUCCAUUGUCUCUGGACGUACUCACUCUUCAAAGGUAGAGAUCACUUCCUGGUUCAGCAUACUUUGCAAAAGUGCCUUCUCUGGAAGUGUGGGGUAGCAAUUGGGAAGGAUCUUCUGGUACUGUUCUGUUUCUCAUUUUGUUUCUGGGAGCUGCUUCUAGGAGUGAGGUCAGUCUGUGAGCUGUGCCUGUAUGCCGGGUUUGCUUUCCUGGAUGUAUCUUAUACUGCAGUGAAAAGUUUUUAGACAUGUACAUUCUCCACCACUAUACUGCUGUUUGUAAUGGGAUAUCAAGGGACUCAACCCAAAGCCCAUAAAAUAAAUUAUGUCACAUCCGUACAGUGGAACACCAUGAAUCCAUUAAAAAUAAUGAGGCAGAGAUAUAAAAACAAAUAUGGACAGAUAUUGCAAUCUGGUGUUAAGCCGGAAAAGGAAAUUACAAAUAGUGUUAUCUCAAAUCUGAAACAAACAAACAUUGUUUGGAACCAUGACAUAUGGUUGCUAUUUGACCAUUUUAUAUGGUUUAUCAUAUAUAUGUAACAUAUAUACACACAUGGCAUCAAAGCAUGUAUAUAGGUAAAUUUGUAAGAAAAAUAACCUGAAAAUGUACUUUGAACUGUUAACAAUGGGAGUAGAUGUUUAGUUUCUGCAUUAUACAUCUCUAUAUGUCUUUAAUUUUUUAUAAUGAGCUUUGUAUUACUCUAGUGGUCAGCAAAAUAAUAAAAAUCUUAAUAGCA